ACAUGCCUACAUCAUAGCAUAAAUGCAUUGGAUCCCAUUAGAACUCUGAAGUUAAGCAUGCUUGGGCUAGAGUAGUACUAGGAUGGGCGACCGAUCAGGAAGUCCUAGUAUUUUACAUGCA
rfam:Picea glauca, whole genome shotgun sequence.